AAACAGACAGAGAAAGAGGAGGAGGAAACAAACUUCAAGAAAGGCGGAGACUUUCUUUUCGAAACGAGUAUGUAGAAGUUUGGAGACUAUUCCACAGUCGAUCAGUUCUUGCCACCCACCAAGCAAGUGUGCUGUGGAUUAUUGGGAUAUGGAGCAGGAUUUGACACAGAAAAGCCCCACUGAAUUCUCCACCCCUCGUAUUAUGAAAGAAAAAACACAUGACAUGAUACUUCAAGAUAAUGAAACCAGAACUGCUGCCCAAACUUGCCUAAGAUGUAUGGCUGGAGAACCUGGGCACUUUGGCCAUAUUAUGAGUUUAUAGGAUAUCAAAGGAUAUGCAUUGAUACUCCAGAACAAAAAAAAGUUUCAAGCUUCUCUUGAGUUCCUAGAUUUUUCUACACCCCUCUGAAAUUGUAUAUAUGUAAUGUACAUAAGAUCUCUUGUGGGUUUUUUUAAUGUUCUCACUAGAACCUCAUUUUGUUUACCUUUUAUAUAAUUUAAAAUAUGUUUUCAAAGCACUGCUCAGCUUAGCGAUUCUCCCACUUUCAACAUGUGUACAAGAGAUAUAUAUUCAUGAAUGUGGGUUAACUGCAGGCAGACAAAAAAGUGGAGACUGGUAUUUUUACUUCUUGUGCAUGUAUGUUGUGAAUAUGUAAAAUUACAUAAUUAUUGAAAUUCAUGGAGAUGGUGACAGUGUGAAACAAAUGUGGUGAAUGUCCCAAAACUGAACAGUUUUCUCCACUAUUAAAAUACCCAGCUGGCUGGGUAGCUCAGUGGGUUGAAGUUUAGACUGCAGAGCCAAUGCUUGUGAAUUCAAUUCUUGACUGUGCCUUGUAGGAUAUACAGAGUGCCCCCCCCCCCGUAGAAGGGAAUGUACCCCUUCUGAGUACUCCAUAGAAAGAAAACCAGAAUUGACUUUACUACACAUAUUUGUUAACUACUAAGAUACACACACUUAGAGUUGCAUUUAGUUGAUAGUAUUCAUCAGUAUAUAUCUGCAUCUUCAGUAAUGCUGCAUGUGAACCAUGUAUUUUGAAAAUACCAUAAAAUGUUCACAGUACUUCUGAAGUUAUUUCAAAGCACAUAAUCACAUUUUUCUCUCUUCUUUAAGGCAAAUUUGUAGAAUGCACUGCCUCCUAGGAAGCACUGAACUGUAAAGGUAUUUCCCUUUCAGCUGGUGAAAUACAUGAUGUAAAGUCCCUUUGCAGCGAUUGAGACUCAAAAUGUACCUUUGUCACUGCUUUGGCAUAUUCUUGUUAGGAAUUUGACAGACCAUCUCUGUGGCUUGAAAUAGAUCCUUUUUCCCUUCUUUAUUUUCUAAAUAAUCUUGAAAGCUUGAGUGCCACUUGGUCUGCCCACCACCAUGUCC